AACGAACGCUGGCGGCAGGCUUAACACAUGCAAGUCGAACGCUCCGCAAGGAGAGUGGCAGACGGGUGAGUAACGCGUGGGAAUCUACCUAGUUCUACGGAACAACAGAGGGAAACUUCUGCUAAUAUCGUAUACGCCCUAAGGGGGAAAGAUUUAUCGGAAUUAGAUGAGCCCGCGUAAGAUUAGCUAGUUGGUGGGGU
rnacentral:rRNA from 1 species